GUACUUACCUGGAAAGGAGGAUACCAUGAUCAAGAAGGUGGUUUUCUGGGGUGAGUCUCAUCCAUUGCACUCUGGAUGUGCUGACUCCUAUGAUUUCUCCAAAUGUGGGAAACUCGACUGUAUAAUUUGUGGUAGUAGGGGACUGUGUUCGCGCUUUCCCCUG
rnacentral:snRNA from 1 species